rnacentral:SRP_RNA from 1 species
CGCCAGGACCCGUGGAGCGCGGACUUACGAAUCCCGUCAGGGCCGGAAGGCAGCAGCGGCAGUUUGCUUCGUGUCUGCUGCGGUGUUCCUGGCAUUU